CCAACCAGUCUCACUGCAACACCAGAACCUGAAGGGAAAGCAGCAAAACUCAAUAUCCUUCCCAUGCAUGCACCCCCUGGGACUUUUUCUGAUAGCCAUGAUCAAAAGAAACAGAAAGAAGUUAACAUUUGAAACAAGCCUCCUGCAAAGUCAGAUUGCAAUUCCAUAGCAAUGGUGCAGAAGGGAGUUUAAAAUAAAUAGCACCUCAGAGCA